ACUGAAGAGCUAGCUCAACCCGCUAGGACCAAACAAAACCAAGUCCUAUAAUAACCCAAUCCCACAAACCAAAUCAUUUGACCACCCCAGUACGGGCGACGAAAAAGGAAACAUUGAAGCUAUAGAUAAAGUACCGCAAGGGAAAGCUGAAAGAGAGCUGAAAUAGAACGUCAAAGUAAAUAGAAGCAGAGACUCAGCCUCGUACCUUUUGCAUCAUGAUCUAGCCAGAAAACUCAGGCAGAGAGAACUCUAGUUUGAAAUCCCGAAACCUAGACGAGCUACUCCGGGGCAGCCUAUCUUAUAGGGCCAACCCGUCUCUGUUGCAAAAGAGUGGGAAGACCCCUGAGUAGAAGUGAUAUACCUAUCGAGUCAGGUAAUAGCUGGUUGCCCAAGAAAUGAAUAGGAGUUCAGCCCCGCUUAAGCCCCUACCCAACAAAGUUCUCACUAAGAAAAGGAGAAGGGACACCUGCGGGAGUUAGUCAGAGGAGGGACAGCUCCUCUAACAAAGGACACAACCUUAACAGGUGGCUAAGGAAUAUAUUUUAUUAAGGCCCUAAGUUUCAGUGGGCUUAGAAGCAGCCAUCUGAGAAGAAAGCGUUAAAGCUCAAACCAAACCUAAGCCACUAAUCUUAUUUUUUACCCCAACGCCCCUAAUUUAUAUUGGGCUCCCCUAUGCACCCAUAGGAAAAAUAAUGCUAGAAUGAGUAAUAAGAAGAACGAACUUCUCCCCAGCACAUGUGUAAGUCGACCCGGACCAACCAUCGACAAUUAGCGAACCCAACAACAGAGGGCCAUGCACCCCCGCCAGAUCGGGCCAGGAAGACCUUGCAACCCCGCAUCGUUACCCCUACACAGGUGUGCUUAAACCAAGGGAAAGACUGAAAGAAUGAAAAGGAACUCGGCAAACCUAAACCCCGCCUGUUUACCAAAAACACCGCCUCCUGCUUAUUAUUACAUAGGAGGUCCCGCCUGCCCAGUGACAACAGUUUAACGGCCGCGGUAUUUUAACCGUGCGAAGGUAGCGCAAUCAAUUGUCUCCUAAUUAGAGACCUGUAUGAAUGGCAUAACGAGGGUUUAACUGUCUCUUUCUUCUAGUCAAUGAAAUUGAUCUAUCCGUGCAGAAGCGGGUAUAACACCACAAGACGAGAAGACCCUAUGGAGCUUUAAACGCUAAUCAAUCGUGAAAAGAAACCAGCCAAACUGAACUUCUAACCGCAUGAAUAUGACACAAGCGUUUUAGGUUGGGGCGACCGUGGGGGAAAACAAAGCCCUCGGCGAGGACUGGGACAUAAAGCCUGGAACCAAGAGCCGCACCUCUAAGUCACAAAACAUUUGACCUAUAUAUUAAUUGAUCCGGCUUCAUGCCGAUUAACGGACCAAGUUACCCUAGGGAUAACAGCGCAAUCCUCUCUAAGAGUGCAUAUCGACGAGGGGGUUUACGACCUCGAUGUUGGAUCAGGACAUCCUAAUGGUGCAACCGCUAUUAAGGGUUCGUUUGUUCAACGAUUAAAGUCCUACGUGAUCUGAGUUCAGACCGGAGUAAUCCAGGUCGGUUUCUAUCUGUGCAACCAUUCUUUCUAGUACGAAAGGACCGAAACAAUGAGGCCCCUGUAUCUCUAUACGCCUCGCCCCCACCUAAUGAAAACAACUAAAAUAGGUAAAGGGGGGUACUCCCCAGCCCUAGAGAAGGGCAAA
rnacentral:rRNA from 1 species